CUACGGGCGGCUGCAGUGGGGAAUAUUGGACAAUGGGGGAAACCCUGAUCCAGCAAUGCCGCGUGUGUGAAGAAGGCCUGCGGGUUGUAAAGCACUUUCGGUUGGGAGGACUGCUUCUAGCACUAAUAUUGUUGGAAGUUGACGUUACCUUCAGAAGAAGCACCGGCUAACUCCGUGCCAGCAGCCGCGGUAAUACGGAGGGUGCAGGCGUUAAUCGGAAUUACUGGGCGUAAAGCGCGCGUAGGCGGCUAGAUCAGUCGGGUGUGAAAGCCCCGGGCUUAACCUGGGAACUGCAUCCGAUACUGUAUAGCUUGAGUACAGGAGAGGAGAGUGGAAUUCCACAUGUAGCGGUGAAAUGCGUAGAUAUGUGGAGGAACACCAAUGGCGAAGGCAGCUCUCUGGCCUGAUACUGACGCUGAGGUGCGAAAGCGUGGGGAGCAAACAGGAUUAGAUACCCCGGUAGUC
rnacentral:rRNA from 1 species